GAUGAACGCUAGCGGCAGGCCUAACACAUGCAAGUCGAGGGGUAAGCGUAGCUUGCUACGCCUAGACCGGCGCACGGGUGCGUAACGCGUGUACAAUCUACCUUUUACUGGGGAAUAGCCCGAAGAAAUUUGGAUUAAUGUCCCAUAGUAUAGAGCAGUGGCAUCACAGCACUAUUAAAGCUUCGGUGGUAAGAGAUGAGUACGCGUUCUAUUAGUUAGUUGGUGAGGUAACGGCUCACCAAGGCUAUGAUAGGUAGGGGUUCUGAGAGGGAUGUCCCCCACACUGGUACUGAGAUACGGACCAGACUCCUACGGGAGGCAGCAGUGAGGAAUAUUGGUCAAUGGUCGGAAGACUGAACCAGCCAUGCCGCGUGCAGGAUGACGGCCUUAUGGGUUGUAAACUGCUUUUGUAUGGGAAGAAUAAGGGGUACGUGU
rnacentral:rRNA from 1 species